rnacentral:rRNA from 1 species
GGGGAAUAUUUGUCAAUGGGGGCGAGCCUGGAACAGCCAAGGAGCGUUAAGGGUGACUGCCCUCCGGGUUGUAAAAGUCUUUUAUUAUGGGAUAAAAUGAGGGGCGUGUGCCUUAUUGUAUGUGAUUUUGGAAGAGGCAUCGGCUAACUCCGUGCCAGCAGCCGCGGUAAUACGGAGGAUGCAAGCGUUAUCCGGAUUUAUUGGGUUUAAAGGGAGCGUAGGCGGACUAUUAAGUCAGCUGUGAAAGUUUACGGCUCAACCGUGAAAUUGCAGUUGAAACUGGUCGUCUUGAGUGCAGUAAAGGUGGGCGGAAUUCGUGGUGUAGCGGUGAAAUGCUUAGAUAUCACGAAGAACUCCAACUGCGAAGGCAGCUCACUGGAGUGUAACUGACGCUGAUGCUCGAAAGUGUGGGUAUCAAACA